GGGAGCACUGCAGUGUUUUCUGCAAAGGCACUUCAGGUAAGCUUGUUGGGACAAAUUGUGCUCAAGUUACGAGCAAAGCCACUUCCCUGUCUGCCACCCCAGCAGCUCAAAGACUGAACUCCUGCCACUGCCGUCAGGGAGCAUUUCAUCACUGGCGUUUGUAUUUUCCCUUCAGCUCCUCCGUCAGAUGUAUCGUUACAAGUUGGUUUGAGCACGGCACAGGAUGUGAAGGGAAUGGGGAAAUUUUCUGUACAGGUCUGCUGUGCAGUGCCUGCUUAAAGUAAAGCCUCUGCCUGAGCCACUGUGAAGCUGAUUUGUCACUGGCAAGCUGCAGUUCUGCAGGAAGGGUUGACGCUUUAAUGGGCCCAUCUGUAUUCUCCGCAGACCUUGCAGAGCAUCUCAGCUCCUCGGAAAAUCUUCUGUCAGAAGCUUGUCUCUGCUCAUUGCAAGACCAAAUAGCUCAUCGACAACGCCAGACAAUGCGUGGUGGAAGACAUCCCAAGUGCUAGCAAGAGACUUCCAGCAGCAGUCAGAAAUGAUGCUAUGCUCCUAUAGCUCUUUCAACCACUGUGUGGAGUGGAUGCUGUAACUCACUUGAAGAAUGCUUUGGAAG